CCUACGGGGGGCUGCAGUCGAGAAUCUUCCGCAAUGGGCGCAAGCCUGACGGAGCGACGCCGCGUGUGGGAUGAAGGCCUUCGGGUUGUAAACCACUGUCGUAGAGGAGGAAACGCCAUGGGGUUCUCUCCAUGGUCUGACCUAUUCUAGGAGGAAGGAUGGGCUAAGUCCGUGCCAGCAGCCGCGGUAAGACGGACCAUCCAAACGUUAUUCGGAAUUACUGGGCUUAAAGGGUGCGUAGGCGGCGCGGAAAGUUGGGUGUGAAAUCCCUUGGCUUAACCAAGGAAUGGCGCUCAAAACUACCGUGCUCGAGGAAGACAGAGGUGAGCGGAACUUAGGGUGGAGCGGUGAAAUGCGUUGAUAUCCUAAGGAACACCGGUGGCGAAAGCGGCUCACUGGGUCUUUUCUGACGCUGAGGCACGAAAGCCAGGGUAGCGAAC
rnacentral:rRNA from 1 species